rnacentral:rRNA from 1 species
GACGAACGCUGGCGGCAUGCUUAACACAUGCAAGUCGAACGGAAAGGCCCUGCUUUUGUGGGGUGCUCGAGUGGCGAACGGGUGAGUAACACGUGAGUAACCUGCCCUUGACUUUGGGAUAACUUCAGGAAACUGGGGCUAAUACCGGAUAGGAACUCCUGCUGCAUGGUGGGGGUUGGAAAGUUUCGGCGGUUGGGGAUGGACUCGCGGCUUAUCAGCUUGUUGGUGGGGUAGUGGCUUACCAAGGCUUUGACGGGUAGCCGGCCUGAGAGGGUGACCGGCCACAUUGGGACUGAGAUACGGCCCAGACUCCUACGGGAGGCAGCAGUGGGGAAUAUUGCACAAUGGGCGGAAGCCUGAUGCAGCAACGCCGCGUGCGGGAUGACGGCCUUCGGGUUGUAAACCGCUUUCGCCUGUGACGAAGCGUGAGUGACGGUAAUGGGUAAAGAAGCACCGGCUAACUACGUG